rnacentral:misc_RNA from 1 species
GAUGAAGAACGCAGCGAAAUGCGAUACUUAGUGUGAAUUGCAGAAUCCCGUGAACCAUCGAGUCUUUGAACGCAAGUUGCGCCCGAAGCCAUUAGGCCGAGGGCACGCCUGCCUAGGCGUCACACGUCGUUGCCCCCCCAUCUACUCCUUCGGGAUUGCGGGGGGCGGAUGAUGGCCUCCCGUGCGCCUUGUCGCGCGGUUGGCAUAAAUGCCAAGUCCUCGGCGACGCACGCCACGACAAUCGGUGGUUGCGAAACCUCGGUUGCCCGUCGUGUGCGGUCGUCGCGCAUCGAGGGCUCGAAAAAAUUGUCGGGCUCCGGCUCGGCUUUCAACGCGACCCCAGGUCAGGCGGGGUUACCCGCUGAAUUUAAGCAUAUCAAUAAGCGGAGGA